CCCACUGUAGCUCAGUUGGUAGAGCAUGGUGUUUUUGCAACGCCAGGGUUGUUGGUUCGAUUCCCACGGGGGGA
rfam:Salmo salar isolate Sally breed double haploid chromosome ssa16, whole genome shotgun sequence.